ACUUGUAUGGAUUUCGUGGCCCUUGAAAUGUGGGCUUACUAAUCUCGGUAACAUGGAUGCCGCCACAAAUUGUGCUUCUCAUUGUCUUGUGAAUUGUAGGAGGGCACACUGCGAAUAAAACGCGCGCAACCUACACGGCGCAAGCCGCCCCUGAA